rnacentral:lncRNA from 1 species
GAAGGGCCAAAGAAGAGGGGGAAGGGGCUAGGACUUCCUGAGCACCAGCCUCCGAAGGCCUGAGGGAAGGGGAUUUCAGUUCUGAGUCGAAAAGUGAAGACCACUUCUGGGCAAAAUUGUAAAGCAGAGGAAGGGAAGAAAAUGGAAGAAGCAAGAAGCAAGGAUUGAGAAGAACUGCCAUGUGCCAGAACUGGAAAAAGAGCCUUAGAAAAUGAAGACCGUUAAAAGAGUGAAAAAGAACAAUUUUGCAAAAACUUCUGUAAAUUACUGUUAGCACAAAGCAGUAUCAUCGGCCAUCUUUUCUGACCACAGUGUUAUGAAACUAGAAAUCACGUACAAGAAGAAAACUGAAGGUAGAGAUUAAACAACAAGCCACUGAACAAUCAAUGGGUAAUCAAAAUUAAAGGAAAAAUUAAAAAGAUAGCUAGAGACAAAUUAAAGCAUAAAUGCAACAUACCGGAGUUCCCGUUGUGGCACAGUGGUUAACGAAUCCGACUAGGAACCAUGAGGUUGCGGGUUCGGUCCCUGCCCUUGCUCAGUGGGUUAAGGAUCUGGCGUUGCCGUGAGCUGUGGUGUAGGUUGCAGACGCGGCUCGGAUCCCGCGUUGCUGUGGCUCUGGCGUAGGCCGGUGGCUACAGCUCCGAUUGGACCCCUAGCCUGGGAACCUCCAUAUGCCGNNNNNNNNNNNNAAAAAAAAAAAAAAAAAAAAAAAAAAAAAAAAAAAAAAAAAAAAAAAAAAAAUGCAACAUACCAAAAUCUAUGGGAUAUAGCAGAAGUGGUUCUAAAGGGAAGUUCAUAGCAAUACAAUCCUACCUCAAGAAAUAAGAAAAAUCUCAAACAACUUAACUUUGCACCUUAAAAAAUAGGGGGAAAAAAAGAACAAACAAGGUUCAAAAUUAGUAAAAGAAACUGAAAAUCAGAGAAGAAAUGUAUGAAAUAAAGAUUAAAAAGACAAAAAAUCAGGGAAACUAAGAGCUAGUUCUUUGAAAAGAUGAACAAAAUUGACAAAUCUUUAGCUAGAGUCACCAGUGAAAUAAAUGAGAGGACUCAAAUAAAAAUUAGAAAUGAAAUGAGAUGUUAUAGCUGCUACCAUAGAAAUACAAAGCAUCAUAAGAGACACACCAACAAAUUGACAACCUAAAGGAAAUAUUUAAAUUCUUAGAAAAAGACAACCUACCAAGACUGAAUCAUGAAGAAAUAGAAAAUCUGAACAGAUGGAUUACUAGUAAGGAAGUUGAAUCAAUAAUCAAAAACCUCCCAAUCAAUAAAAGUCCAGGACCAGAUAGCUUCACUGGUGAAUCCUACUAAACGUUUAAAGAAGAAUUAAUGCCAAUCCUUUCCAAACUUUUCCAAAAAAUACGAUGGAGGAAACAGUUCCAAACUUGUUUUUUGAGGCCAGUAAUACCCUGAUACCAAAACCAGACAAGAAUGCCACAAGAAAAAGAAAAUUACAGGCCAAUAUCCCUGAGAACACAGAUGCAAAAAUCACCAACAAAAUAUUGGCAAGCUGAAAUGAACAAUACAUUGAAAGGAUUAUACACCAAGAUCAAAUGGGAUAUAUAUCAGGAGUGCAAGAAUGGCUUGAUACCUGCAGAUCAAUGAGUAUGAUAAAUGCCAUUAUCAAAA